UUGAUCAUGGCUCAGAGCGAACGCUGGCGGCAGGCUUAACACAUGCAAGUCGAACGGGCUUCUUCGGAAGUCAGUGGCAGACGGGUGAGUAACACGUGGGAACGUGCCCUUCGGUUCGGAAUAACUCAGGGAAACUUGAGCUAAUACCGGAUACGCCCUUACGGGGAAAGGUUUACUGCCGAAGGAUCGGCCCGCGUCUGAUUAGCUUGUUGGUGGGGUAACGGCCUACCAAGGCGACGAUCAGUAGCUGGUCUGAGAGGAUGAUCAGCCACACUGGGACUGAGACACGGCCCAGACUCCUACGGGAGGCAGCAGUGGGGAAUAUUGGACAAUGGGCGCAAGCCUGAUCCAGCCAUGCCGCGUGAGUGAUGAAGGCCUUAGGGUUGUAAAGCUCUUUUGUCCGGGACGAUAAUGACGGUACCGGAAGAAUAAGCCCCGGCUAACUUCGUGCCAGCAGCCGCGGUAAUACGAAGGGGGCUAGCGUUGCUCGGAAUCACUGGGCGUAAAGGGCGCGUAGGCGGCCGAUUAAGUCGGGGGUGAAAGCCUGUGGCUCAACCACAGAAUUGCCUUCGAUACUGGUUGGCUUGAGACCGGAAGAGGACAGCGGAACUGCGAGUGUAGAGGUGAAAUUCGUAGAUAUUCGCAAGAACACCAGUGGCGAAGGCGGCUGUCUGGUCCGGUUCUGACGCUGAGGCGCGAAAGCGUGGGGAGCAAA
rnacentral:rRNA from 1 species